ncrna:unclassified sequences RT-5 RNA
UUGCGCCUGCGAAGGACGCAGCAUCGCCCAUCGGAUUGCCUUGCAGGCGGCAGGGUGAUGUCCCCGUCCGGUGAUCAGCAAUUUUGCUGAUUCAAAAUCAUUCC